ACUACUAUAAUUCUGAAUUCUCUACAGAUUGGCUUGGCCUGUUUUUAAAUUCUCUUUACAUCCUCAACAUUGCCUGGCCCACGCUUGUGAAAUGGAGUCUCCCCCUGGAAAAUUCAUCAACGUUUUCUUUUCAGGAUGGAACAAGAAAAUUCAAAGGUUCUUCCUACACACAAAAGGAGUGGACACAGCAAGUCCUUUUUGAGCCCCAGUGUCCCCAGGAGUGGAUAAUAGCACUUUUGAAUCAAGGGAAUUCUUGAGGUGACCCGGAGUCAACUCUUUCAGUCUGAAAUGGCCUGAGAAAUCAAGGUGAUAGCUGUGUUUAGCCAAUUCCUUUAAUAAAUUUAUAAAUUAUAAAAUACCAAGUGGAAAAAAUUAGUAGU
rnacentral:lncRNA from 1 species